AGACAAUGGACUUUGGUGGAUAAUCAGCAAUCACUGCCAUUCAAACGUUGGAUUCUUUUGCGUCCUGUGUAUUUGCUCAAUAAUGGAUUACAUGUGUUGGUGAUAGGAAUUCUGAGAAUGAAGAAAUUGCAGCAAGUGGAAAGCAGUUGGGGAAAUGAUUUUCAAGAAAAAGAAAAAGGAAAACCUCAAAACAAUCAAAUUCAUUAAUUUAACAAUUAUUUGUUGACUGUCUACUCAUGGACCCUGUACUGCAGAGGCUCAUAGUCUAUCAGAAAAUGUAGAAAAAUAUUAAAAUCAGUAACUGUGA